CCGCGGUUCGUCCUCACUCGACUAUUUCCCGAAGCUCCGCCCCUUUCCUCGCCCCGUACAUAAAAGAGCGCCAGACCCGCAUGGAUUUCAUUCUCGUUUGAAGCGCUCAAGGGAAGGUUGCAACGAUGAAGUGGCUCGUUUUAACUUUCUUGUUGUUUUCGUCCAUGAUGGUGGUGACGGAAACGCGACCCCAACGCAGAUUCCCGCCUCAAUUUCCUACACACGGGCCUAUCAUCCCUCCGUACCCGUGCAACUGUACUUUCCCGCCGUGCCCGUGUGAUCCUCCGAGACCCAUCGACUUCCUCAGGAUAAAGCGGCGCGCGUGAGACGUUUUGGGGCCUGCGAGUCUUCGGGAAACUCUCCUUGCCGUCCUGGCCCUACGGUUUUCGUCGAUGCGUUUCUUCAAGAGUCUGCAGUGUCUACGUAAGAUGUUACGACUUAUCUGGUUUUCCUUUUUGACUUUACACGUUCUCUAUUCGUUCUGUACAAGGCAUUGGGAUAUCCUUGUUGUUAGUUAUCAAGUUAUCAAGUAUUUUCUUCGUGUACACGAAGGCUAGCAUGGCUUCCCUAGUGCCUGAGCUAAUCAUUUAGUGUUUAAUGCUUAUCUAUAUUAGUUUGUUUGUUUGUUUUUUAAUCUUCUAAAUCAUCAUUUGUUGUAUGUAUGUUUACACUAGUUAUCAUAGCUUCCAAAUCAUGUGUUUCGUGCUCGUCUGUAAUAGUCAUCGCUUUUUCUUUAACAAUUGAGUGCGUCAAAGUAGAUGCAUGUCUUAAGGUGUUCUCCAUUUUAUUCGGGAAGCGGUUGUAAUGUUCAAAAUAAAUUAUUAAAACUUG